rnacentral:tRNA from 1 species
GACAGUUUGGCCGAGCGGUCUAAGGCGCCAGACUCAAGUUCUGGUGGAGCAAUCCGCGUGGGUUCGAACCCCACAGCUGUCA